AUACUAAAGCCGAACGCCCUCAAAGCUGUUUAACGCUUCCGAGUUAAGAAGCCCCACUACGAAAGUGGCUUUACCCCACCUGACCCCACGAAAGCUGUGAAACAAACUGGGAUUAGAUACCCCACUAUGCUCAGCCCUAAAAUUUGAUAGGCCCCUACGCCCCCUAUCCGCCCGGGUACUACGAGCAUCAGCUUGAAACCCAAAGGACUUGGCGGUGCUUCACAUCCGUCUAGAGGAGCCUGUUCUAGAACCGAUAACCCCCGUUAAACCUCACCCUCCCUUGUUAAUACCGCCUAUAUACCGCCGUCGUCAGCCUACCCUGUGAAGGCCAGAGUGAGCAGAUUGGUAAGACCCAAAACGUCAGGUCGAGGUGUAGUGUAUGGAAGGGGAAGAAAUGGGCUACAUUUCCUAAUCCAGGAAAUACGAAUAAUGUACUGAAAUAAGCAUUAGAAGGUGGAUUUAGCAGUAAGCAGAAAAACAGAGUGUUUCGCUGAAGAUUCGGCAAUAAAGCACGUACACAUCGCCCGUCACUCUCCCCGAGCUACCUAAAAAGUCAUAUCUGCAAAGGGGAGGCAAGUCGUAACAUGGUAACGUACCGGAAGGUGCGCUUGG
rnacentral:rRNA from 1 species